UGAGGGAUAUUGCACAAUGGGCGCAAGCCUGAUGCAGCGACGCCGCGUGGGUGAUGACGGUCUUCGGAUUGUAAAACCCUUUUCUGGUUGACGAGCAAGGACGGUAGACCAGGAAGAAGUGUCGGCUAACUACGUGCCAGCAGCCGCGGUAAAACGUAGGACACGAGCGUUAUCCGGAGUUACUGGGCGUAAAGGGCGUGCAGGCGGCGUGGUAAGUCUGAUGUGAAAGCUCCCGGCUCAACCGGGAGAGGACAUUGGAGACUGCCAAGCUCGAGGCAGAUAGAGGGAUGUAGAAUUCCGGGUGUAGUGGUGAAAUGCGUAGAGAUCCGGAGGAAUACCAGAGGCGAAGGCGGCAUCCUGGGUCUGACCUGACGCUGAGACGCGACAGCAUGGGGAGCGAACGGG
rnacentral:rRNA from 1 species